GGGCGGUGAUGAGGAACAAGUCAUGCACCACUCUGAUGAAAUCUGUGCUGAUAAAUUCUGAAUUACCCAUUCGUAUCUGAGCCC